GGGUUGUGAGGUUAAGCGACUAAGCGUACACGGUGGAUGCCCUGGCAGUCAGAGGCGAUGAAGGGCGUGCUAAUCUGCGAUAAGCGCCGGUAAGGUGAUAUGAACCGUUAUAACCGGCGAUACCCGAAUGGGGAAACCCAGUGUGAUUCGUCACACUAUCAUUAACUGAAUCCAUAGGUUAAUGAGGCGAACCGGGGGAACUGAAACAUCUAAGUACCCCGAGGAAAAGAAAUCAACCGAGAUUCCCCCAGUAGCGGCGAGCGAACGGGGAGGAGCCCAGAGCCUGAAUCAGCAUGUGUGUUAGUGGAAGCGUCUGGAAAGGCGCGCGAUACAGGGUGACAGCCCCGUACACAAAAGCGCAUGUGCUGUGAGCUCGAUGAGUAGGGCGGGACACGUGGUAUCCUGUCUGAAUAUGGGGGGACCAUCCUCCAAGGCUAAAUACUCCUGACUGACCGAUAGUGAACCAGUACCGUGAGGGAAAGGCGAAAAGAACCCCGGCGAGGGGAGUGAAAAAGAACCUGAAACCGUGUACGUACAAGCAGUGGGAGCACCCUUCGGGGUGUGACUGCG
rnacentral:rRNA from 1 species